rnacentral:rRNA from 1 species
CCCCUAGACGUUCUGGGCUGCACGCGCGCUACAAUAAUACGCCCAGCGAGUAUCACCGAGCUCGAAAGGGCAAGGUAAACAAUAGAAAAGGUACUGUAAUGGUUAUAGAUCCUUGUAAUUAUUGAUCUUCAACGAGGAAUUCCUAGUAAGUAUGUGUCAUCAUCACGCACUGAUUACGUCCCUGCCCUUUGUGCACACCGCCCGUCGCUCCUACCGAUUGGGUGAGCCGAUGAAACUCUCGGAUGUAGGCUAUUCAUAGCCCGCAGAAGAGAUUUGAAUCGUAGCGCUUAGAGGAAGGAGAAGUCGUAACA